rnacentral:rRNA from 1 species
GGUUGUCGUCAGCUCGUGUCGUGAGAUGUUGGGUUAAGUCCCGCAACGAGCGCAACCCCUACGUUACGUUGCUAACGCGUGAAGGCGAGCACUCUAGACGAACUGCCGUUGACAAAACGGAGGAAGGUGGGGAUGACGUCAAAUCAUCAUGCCCCUUAUGUUCUGGGCUACACACGUGCUACAAUGGCCGGCACAGACGGACGCAAAGCCGCGAGGUGGAGCAAAUCCUAAAAAGCCGGUCUCAGUUCGGAUUGCAGGCUGCAAUUCGCCUGCAUGAAGUCGGAAUCGCUAGUAAUCGCAGGUCAGCAUACUGCGGUGAAUACGUUCCCGGGCCUU